GACGAACCGUGCGAACGUUGUUCGGAAUCACUGGGCUUAAAGGGCGCGUAGGCGGCCACCGCAAGUCGACUGUGAAAUCUCCGGGCUUACCCCGGAAAGGUCAGCCGAUACUGCGGGGCUAGAGUGCAGAAGGGGCAACUGGAAUUCUCGGUGUAGCGGUGAAAUGCGUAGAUAUCGAGAGGAACACCUGCGGCGAAGGCGGGUUGCUGGGCUGACACUGACGCUGAGGCGCGAAAGCUAGGGGAGCGAACGGG
rnacentral:rRNA from 1 species